CAGACAUUGACAUAUGACAUCCUUCUUGUAAUUGGUUGAUUUUUUUUUUCUUGUUUUUCUUUUAGGUGGUGAAGUGAAGGUUAAAGUAUUAGACUGGCAUAAAAAUAAGCUAUGUUCAGGUAAUGAAAUUGUAUUUCUCCACUUCAUUUUACAAGACAAUGUCUUUAGACAAUUACGAUGUUUUAAAAGACAAUUAAAAUGUUAAAUUUUUUAAACACUAUAAACGUGUUAAUUUAUAAAGGAUCCUUAACAUCUGCAUGUUACUAACCUCUACCUCAACUGAUAUCAAUCACCACAUAGAAUAAAAAGAUAAUUUAUUGGAUGCAAGAAGAGGGCUAGAACCUAUCACAAUUAAUAGGUUACCCUUUUCUUGUCAGGGGGCUGGAGAUGACCGGUUGCUGAGAGAGUGGAUACAUUAUUGGGAGGUGAUUCAGCUCUCAUGGUACAUAUUGGGCCAGUGACACAAACACUGGAAGAUGGAGGAUCCUAAAGAAUGAGUUCAAGGAAUUGGGAAACAAUCUGAUGAAGAGAACCUCCAAUGUGAUAUUUUCUAAAAUAUCUCUUGUUCCACACGCCAGAAAGGAAAGAGAUCAGGGAGGUUUUAAGAGCAGUGGGAGAAUUUUACACUUGUGUACAAUCUUCUUAGCCAUGAUGGAUAGCACCUAAAUUGAAAACAGGGCUGCUGUACUGGGGUAGAGGACAGCUAGACAGUUGAAGGAGACUUUUGUGGCGGGACCGCUGCCUAGCUGUGAAUUGCCCCUUCCUAUGUGUGGAUGUGCCCUCCUGGAAUGUGUGUUCCCCCUUUGUGAUUCUUUCCCUUUCCUUAAUUUUGACCUUAAAUCAUGCAAAGUACCCUUUAACCACACGGGGUCACACGGAUCCCAGUGUGCUGGACCACCCCGAUACUCUAUUUAGAAAGUUUAGUUAGAAUGUUCACACCUCUGUGACGAGGUGUGAAAACCGCAGACUGCAAGGGAACAAGACGCUUAUGCUUCCCCUGGGUGGCCGCUGGUUCGUAUCACCGAACGCCCACCAAGGGGAGCAUUCGUCUCCCGAACCGGCCUGCGCGCACUGUCUUCAAUUCCCGUGUCGGUGAUCACCCGAUCACACAACGGAGCUAUAAUCACUUUUACCUCCCCUACCUGGCAGCUAUGAGGCUAGAAUAGGUUUUGCGCCUUUCGGUGGAUUGGUGCAAUCAGGUUUCGCACCAUUUCUUCUGAUUGGGCCACGAAACCCCUUUCCUCCUUGAACACCGAUUGGUGCAACCAAGUUUUGCGCUUUUUCCACGGAUUAGGCGGUGAAACUCCUUCCUCUCCCGAACACUGAUUGGUGUGAUUUGGUUUGCACCCUUUCAGCUGAUUGGCUGUUGCUUGGUUUAGACAUGAAGUUUGAAUUAGCCGGACUAAACCAAGCAACUCCAUGGAACUACUUUCAGGGAUGUACAGAGCCUCGAGCCCCAGACUUUGAACCCUGUAACCCCUUACCAUCCCAGGGCAUCCCUGUCUCAUCCCUGUGUCCUGUUGGUAACUCCCAGAGCGAGAGAUGGUUAUCUGCAGGCAGCCCCCUCCUGCCUUGGAUUGUGUUGUGUUGGAUGGAGACCCCUUGCAGGGGUCUGUGCAUAAAAAGCUGUGUGCCCAAAUAAAGAUUGUACCCUGGAACUGCGUGUCAUCCAGUUACUGGGGAAAAU